rnacentral:rRNA from 1 species
UUUUAUUUGAGAGUUUGAUCCUGGCUCAGGAUGAACGCUGGCGGCGUGCCUAACACAUGCAAGUUGAGCGAUUUACUUCGGUAAAGAGCGGCGGACGGGUGAGUAACGCGUGGGUAACCUACCCUGUACACACGGAUAACAUACCGAAAGGUAUGCUAAUACGGGAUAAUAUAUUUGAGAGGCAUCUCUUAAAUAUCAAAGGUGAGCCAGUACAGGAUGGACCCGCGUCUGAUUAGCUAGUUGGUAAGGUAACGGCUUACCAAGGCGACGAUCAGU